rnacentral:rRNA from 1 species
GGCUCAGGACGAACGCUGGCGGCGUGCCUAAUACAUGCAAGUCGAACGGUCUUUCUAUGGAAGCUUGCUUCCACUGGGAAGAUAGUGGCGGACGGGUGAGUAACACGUGGGUAACCUGCCCAUAAGAGGGGGGAUAACAUCCGGAAACGGGUGCUAAUACCGCAUAGUUUUCUUGAUCGCAUGGUCGAGAAAGGAAAGACAGCCUUUGUGCUGUCGCUUAUGGAUGGACCCGCGGCGUAUUAGUUAGUUGGUGAGGUAACGGCUCACCAAGACGAUGAUACGUAGCCGACCUGAGAGGGUGAUCGGCCACAUUGGGACUGAGACACGGCCCAAACUCCUACGGGAGGCAGCAGUAGGGAAUCUUCCGCAAUGGACGAAAGUCUGACGGAGCAACGCCGCGUGAGUGAAGAAAGGUUUUCGGAUCGUAAAACUCUGUUGUCAGAGAAGAACAAGUCGGAGAGUAACUGCUCCGGCCUUGACGGUAUCUGACCAGAAAGCCACGGCUAACUACGUGCCAGCCGCUGC